UACGGGGGGGGCAAGCGUUGUUCGGAAUUACUGGGCGUAAAGGGCUCGUAGGUGGCCAACUAAGUCAGACGUGAAAUCCCUCAGCUUAACUGGGGAACUGCGUCUGAUACUGGAUGGCUUGAGUUUGGGAGAGGGAUGCGGAAUUCCAGGUGUAGCGGUGAAAUGCGUAGAUAUCUGGAGGAACACCGGUGGCGAAGGCGGCAUCCUGGACCAUUACUGACGCUGAGUGAGCGAAAGCCAGGGGAGCAAACGGG
rnacentral:rRNA from 1 species